CACUUCACCCAUAUGCUUCCUACAGUUGUGGUUCCAUUUCUUCCCAUACAUAGGACUGCCUGGGCCGUUGGUGUGAAGGGCCUAAGUACUUCUAGUUACACCAAGCAGGACAUGUGGAAAGGCUGAGAGCUGGCUGUUCAUGGAGCGAAACUGCUGGAUCCUGAAGGGCUCCUAAGUCUAGUGGAUACAGCUCAGUGUGAAUCAAUAACGGCUGCAGAGCCAGGGACAGGAAAUGGCUGUGGUGGAGCCAGUGACCUUCGAGGAGGUGGCUGUGUAUUUCUCUGAGGAGGAAUGGGCUCUGCUGGACCUGGGCCAGAGAGCCCUCUACAGAGAUGUGAUGCAGGAGAAUUAUGAGGCUGUGAGCUGGCUGGGAUUUCCAGUCUCAGAAGCUCAUGUGAUCUCCUGGGUAGAGGAAGGGGAGGAGUUGCGGGUCCAAGAUCUCCAGAGCUGUGAAGAAGGGGAGAUCAGCAGCAGCACCCGCACAGGUGAGCAAUCAGCUAAACUGACUCAGAAGCCAAUUUCUGUCUCCUUAUAACCCGUGUCACUUGUGCAUUUUCCUCUAGUCUGACUGCCCCUUCAGCCUGUCUUCAACUUCAGUCAGAGCAUGGUAGGUGGGGGAAGGCUGGGUUCUCUCCUCUGUGGAAGGAUCAUGAAGGAGGAUGAGCUCAGCUAAUGAUAAUUCAACCAUUACUUGAGUGUGUGUCCCCCCCCCUUUUCUAUUCUCCUUUCAGAGUUUCCUUUCAGCUCAUCAUGGAGAAUAACUCCUGUCUGGAU